GUGGAUUAGAUACCCUGGUAGUCCACGCUGUAAACGAUGAAUACUAGGUGUGGGGGGACUGACCCCUUCCGUGCCGCAGUUAACACAAUAAGUAUUCCACCUGGGGAGUACGGCCGCAAGGUUGAAACUCAAAGGAAUUGACGGGGGCCCGCACAAGCAGUGGAUUAUGUGGUUUAAUUCGAAGCAACGCGAAGAACCUUACCAGGGCUUGACAUCCAACUAACGAGGCAGAGAUGCAUUAGGUGCCCUUCGGGGAAAGUUGAGACAGGUGGUGCACGGUCGUCGUCAGCU
rnacentral:rRNA from 1 species